GUGCUCAAUUCAGCAGCAUGUUUACUAAAAUCAGAAUACCUAGAUUAGCACGGCCCCACACAAAGAUGACACCAAAAUUUGUGAAGUGUUCCAUAUUUAA
rnacentral:snRNA from 14 species